rfam:Schistosoma haematobium scaffold598_8, whole genome shotgun sequence.
AUCUAGCUGACGAGUCUUAAAAUGGGACGAAACGCGUGUUCUGGAU